GACGUAGGGGGCCAGCGUUGUUCGAAAUUACUGGGUGUAAAGGGUUCGUAGGCGGUGCGGCAAGUUGGGAGUGAAAUCUCUGGGCUUAACCCAGAGGCUGCUUCCAAAACUGCUGUGCUUGAGUGUGGGAGAGGCGCGUGGAAUUGCAGGUGUAGCGGUGAAAUGCGUAGAUAUCUGCAGGAACACCCGUGGCGAAAGCGGCGCGCUGGACCACUACUGACGCUGAGGAACGAAAGCUAGGGGAGCAAACAGG
rnacentral:rRNA from 1 species